GUCCACAGCUAUGCCACCCGGAACACACCUGAUCUCCUGUGAUCUGGACGCUAAGCAGGUUGAGUCCAGUUAGCACUUGGAUGAGAGAGUACCUGGGAAUACCAGGUGCUGUAGGCU
rnacentral:rRNA from 1 species